UGAGGAGGAGGAGGAGGGGGAGGAAGCCCCCGAGGAAGCCCCAAAAAAGCGAAAAUUGGGCAAAAACCCCGACGUGGACACGAGCUUCCUGCCCGACCGCGAGAGAGAGGAGGAGGAGAACCGGCUGCGGGAGGAGCUCAGGCAGGAGUGGGAGGCCAAACAGGAGAAGAUCAAAA